CCCCAGGUCAGGCGGGACUACCCGCUGAGUUUAAGCAUAUCAAUAAGC
rnacentral:rRNA from 5 species